AGCAGGCGCGAAAACUUUACAAUGCUGGGAACAGCGAUAAGGGAACCUCGAGUGCCAGGUUACAAAUCUGGCUGUCGUGAUGCCUAAAAAGCAUUAUAUAGCAAGGGCCGGGCAAGACCGGUGCCAGCCGCCGCGGUAACACCGGCGGCUCGAGUGGUAACCGUUAUUAUUGGGUCUAAAGGGUCUGUAGCCGGCCGGAUAAGUCUCUUGGGAAAUCUGGCAGCUCAACUGUCAGGCUUUCAGGGGAUACUGUCUGGCUC
rnacentral:rRNA from 1 species